rnacentral:rRNA from 1 species
AGGUAAGCUACUAAGAGCGAAUGGUGGAUGCCUUGACUGGUAAAGGCGAUGAAGGACGUACUAGACUGCGAUAAGCUACGGGGAGCUGUCAAGAAGCUUUGAUCCGUAGAUUUCCGAAUGGGGCAACCCAAUGUAUAGAGAUAUACAUUACCUAUAUAGGAGCGAACGAGGGGAAUUGAAACAUCUUAGUACUCUCAGGAAAAGAAAUCAAUAGAGAUUGCGUCAGUAGCGGCGAGCGAAAGCGCAAGAGGGCAAACCCAGUGCUUGCACUGGGGGUUGUAGGACUGCAAUGUGCAAGAGGUAAGUUUAGCAGAACAUUCUGGAAAGUAUAACCAUAGAGGGUGAUAGUCCCGUAUGCGAAAAACAAACCUUAGCUAGCAGUAUCCUGAGUAGGGCGGGACACGAGGAAUCCUGUCUGAAUCCGGGUCGACCACGAUCCAACCCUAAAUACUAAUACCAGAUCGAUAGUGCACAAGUACCGUGAGGGAAAGGUGAAAAGAACUGAGGUGAUCAGAGUGAAAUAGAACCUGAAACCAUUUGCUUACAAUCAUUCAGAGCCCUAUGUAGCAAUACAGGGUGAUGGACUGCCUUUUGCAUAAUGAGCCUGCGAGUUGUGGUGUCUGGCAAGGUUAAGCAAACGCGAAGCCGUAGCGAAAGCGAGUCUGAAUAGGGCGCUUAGUCAGAUGCUGCAGACCCGAAACGAAGUGAUCUAUCCAUGAGCAAGUUGAAGCUAGUGUAAGAACUAGUGGAGGACUGAACCCAUAGGCGUUGAAAAGCCCCGGGAUGACUUGUGGAUAGGGGUGAAAGGCCAAUCAAACUUCGUGAUAGCUGGUUCUCUCCGAAAUAUAUUUAGGUAUAGCGUUGUGUCGUAAUAUAAGGGGGUAGAGCACUGAAUGGGCUAGGGCAUACACCAAUGUACCAAACCCUAUCAAACUCCGAAUACCUUAUAUGUAAUCACAGCAGUCAGGCGGCGAGUGAUAAAAUCCGUCGUCAAGAGGGAAACAACCCAGACUACCAGCUAAGGUCCCUAAAUCUUACUUAAGUGGAAAACGAUGUGAAGUUACUUAAACAACCAGGAGGUUGGCUUAGAAGCAGCCAUCCUUUAAAGAAAGCGUAAUAGCUCACUGGUCUAGUGAUUUUGCGCGGAAAAUAUAACGGGGCUAAAGUAAGUACCGAAGCUGUAGACUUAGUUUACUAAGUGGUAGGAGAGCGUUCUAUUUGCGUCGAAGGUAUACCGGUAAGGAGUGCUGGAGCGAAUAGAAGUGAGCAUGCAGGCAUGAGUAGCGAUAAUUAAUGUGAGAAUCAUUAACGCCGUAAACCCAAGGUUUCCUACGCGAUGCUCGUCAUCGUAGGGUUAGUCGGGUCCUAAGUCGAGUCCGAAAGGGGUAGACGAUGGCAAAUUGGUUAAUAUUCCAAUACCAACAUUAGUGUGCGAUGGAAGGACGCUUAGGGCUAAGGGGGCUAGCGGAUGGAAGUGCUAGUCUAAGGUCGUAGGAGGUUAUACAGGCAAAUCCGUAUAACAAUACUCCGAGAACUGAAAGGCUUUUUGAAGUCUUCGGAUGGAUAGAAGAACCCCUGAUGCCGUCGAGCCAAGAAAAGUUUCUAAGUUUAGCUAAUGUUGCCCGUACCGUAAACCGACACAGGUGGGUGGGAUGAGUAUUCUAAGGCGCGUGGAAGAACUCUCUUUAAGGAACUCUGCAAAAUAGCACCGUAUCUUCGGUAUAAGGUGUGGUUAGCUUUGUAUUAGGAUUUACUCCGAAAGCAAGGAAACUUACAACAAAGAGUCCCUCCCGACUGUUUACCAAAAACACAGCACUCUGCUAACUCGUAAGAGGAUGUAUAGGGUGUGACGCCUGCCCGGUGCUCGAAGGUUAAUUGAUGGGGUUAGCAUUAGCGAAGCUCUUGAUCGAAGCCCGAGUAAACGGCGGCCGUAACUAUAACGGUCCUAAGGUAGCGAAAUUCCUUGUCGGUUAAAUACCGACCUGCAUGAAUGGCGUAACGAGAUGGGAGCUGUCUCAAAGAGGGAUCCAGUGAAAUUGUAGUGGAGGUGAAAAUUCCUCCUACCCGCGGCAAGACGGAA